rnacentral:pre_miRNA from 1 species
AGACCCCUCGACGGUCGGAGUAUGGGUUGCGAUGGAAUCAUGGUAGAUAAACAUGCAGACGACGUCCAGGGGAAUAUGAAAACUGGACAUCGUCUGCAUGUUUAUCUAACAUGAUUCCAUCGCAACCCAUACUCCGACGGUCGAGGGGUCU